rnacentral:rRNA from 1 species
CAAUAGCGUAUAUUAAAGUUGUUGCAGUUAAAAAGCUCGUAGUUGGAUUUCUGGUGGGAGCGAUCGGUCUGGCGCUUAGCGCGAGUACUUGCAUCGUCUCCGGCCAUCCUUGGGGAGAGUCUGUCUGGCAUUAAGUUGUCGGGCAGAGGAUCCUCAUCGUUUACUGUGAAUAAAUUAGAGUGUUCAAAGCAGGCUUAUGCCGUUGAAUAUAUUAGCAUGGAAUAAUAAGAUAGGACUUUGGUACUAUUUUGUUGGUUUGCGCACCAAAGUAAUGAUUAAUAGGGACAGUUGGGGGUAUUCGUAUUCCGUUGUCAGAGGUGAAAUUCUUGGAUUUACGGAAGACGAACUACUGCGAAAGCAUUUACCAAGGAUGUUUUCAUUAA